CCUACGGGAGGCAGCAGUGAGGAAUAUUGGUCAAUGGACGAGAGUCUGAACCAGCCAAGUAGCGUGAAGGAUGACUGCCCUAUGGGUUGUAAACUUCUUUUAUAUGGGAAUAAAAUGUUCCACGUGUGGGAUUUUGUAUGUACCAUAUGAAUAAGGCUCGGCUAACUCCGUGCCAGCAGCCGCGGUAAUACGGAGGAUGCGAGCGUUAUCCGGAUUUAUUGGGUUUAAAGGGGGCGCAGGCGGCGUGUAAAGUCAGCGGUAAAAUGUCGGGGCUCAACCCCGGCCGGCCGUUGAAACUGGGGGGCUCGAGUGGGGGAGAAGUAGGCGGAAUUCGUGGUGUAGCGGUGAAAUGCAUAGAUAUCACGAAGAACCCCGAUUGCGAAGGCAGCAUACCGGAUCCAAACUGACGCUGAGGCACGAAAGCGUGGGUAUCGAACAGGAUUAGAUACCCGGGUAGUC
rnacentral:rRNA from 1 species